rnacentral:tRNA from 1 species
GGAGAGAUGGCCGAGUGGUCUAAGGCACAUUCCUGGAAAGUAUGUUCACUGAAUACAGUGUCAAGGGUUCGAAUCCCUUUCUCUCCG